rnacentral:rRNA from 1 species
UGCAAGUCGAGCGGCAGCACGGGGAGCUUGCUCCCUGGUGGCGAGCGGCGGACGGGUGAGUAAUGCAUAGGAAUCUGCCCGGUAGUGGGGGAUAACCUGGGGAAACCCAGGCUAAUACCGCAUACGUCCUACGGGAGAAAGCAGGGGACCUUCGGGCCUUGCGCUAUCGGAUGAGCCUAUGUCGGAUUAGCUGGUUGGUGAGGUAAUGGCUCACCAAGGCGACRAUCCGUAGCUGGUCUGAGAGGAUGAUCAGCCACAUCGGGACUGAGACACGGCCCGAACUCCUACGGGAGGCAGCAGUGGGGAAUAUUGGACAAUGGGCGCAAGCCUGAUCCAGCCAUGCCGCGUGUGUGAAGAAGGCCCUCGGGUUGUAAAGCACUUUCAGUGGGGAARAAAGCCUUCCGGUUAAUACCCGGGAGGAGGGACAUCACCCACAGAAGAAGCACCGGCUAACUCCGUGCCAGCAGCCGCGGUAAUACGGAGGGUGCGAGCGUUAAUCGGAAUUACUGGGCGUAAAGCGCGCGUAGGCGGCUUGAUAAGCCGGUUGUGAAAGCCCCGGGCUCAACCUGGGAACGGCAUCCGGAACUGUCAGGCUAGAGUGCAGGAGAGGAAGGUAGAAUUCCCGGUGUAGCGGUGAAAUGCGUAGAGAUCGGGAGGAAUACCAGUGGCGAAGGCGGCCUUCUGGACUGACACUGACGCUGAGGUGCGAAAGCGUGGGUAGCAAACAGGAUUAGAUACCCUGGUAGUCCACGCCGUAAACGAUGUCGACUAGCCGUUGGGUCCUUCGCGGACUUUGUGGCGCAGUUAACGCGAUAAGUCGACCGCCUGGGGAGUACGGCCGCAAGGUUAAAACUCAAAUGAAUUGACGGGGGCCCGCACAAGCGGUGGAGCAUGUGGUUUAAUUCGAUGCAACGCGAAGAACCUUACCUACCCUUGACAUCCUGCGAACCCUUCGGAGACGAAGGGGUGCCUUCGGGAACGCAAAGACAGGUGCUGCAUGGCUGUCGUCAGCUCGUGUUGUGAAAUGU